rnacentral:rRNA from 1 species
UACGUAGGGUGCGAGCGUUGUCCGGAUUUAUUGGGCGUAAAGAGCUCGUAGGCGGUUUGUCGCGUCGGCCGUGAAAUCUCCACGCUUAACGUGGAGCGUGCGGUCGAUACGGGCAGACUUGAGUUCGGUAGGGGAGACUGGAAUUCCUGGUGUAGCGGUGAAAUGCGCAGAUAUCAGGAGGAACACCGGUGGCGAAGGCGGGUCUCUGGGCCGGAUACUGACGCUGAGGAGCGAAAGCGUGGGGAGCGAACAGG